rnacentral:rRNA from 1 species
AUUGAACGCUGGCGGCAGGCCUAACACAUGCAAGUCGAGCGGAGCGGCGGACGGGUGAGUAAUGCCUAGGAAUCUGCCUGGUAGUGGGGGAUAACGUCCGGAAACGGGCGCUAAUACCGCAUACUAUCAGAUGAGCCUAGGUCGGAUUAGCUAGUUGGUGGGGUAAAGGCCUACCAAGGCGACGAUCCGUAACUGGUCUGAGAGGAUGAUCAGUCACACUGGAACUGAGACACGGUCCAGACUCCUACGGGAGGCAGCAGUGGGGAAUCUUGCACAAUGGGCGAAAGCCUGAUACAGCCACGCCGCGUGAGUGAAGAAGGUCUUCGGAUCGUAAAGCACUGUUAUUAGGGAGGCGGUACCAACUGAGAAAGCACCGGCUAACUACGUGCCAGCAGCCGCGGUAAUUC